GACGAACGCUGGCGGCGUGCCUAAUACAUGCAAGUUGAGCGAUGAAGCUUGGUGCUUGCACCAAUUUGAAGAGCAGCGAACGGGUGAGUAACGCGUGGGGAAUCUGCCUUUGAGCGGGGGACAACAUUUGGAAACGAAUGCUAAUACCGCAUAACAACUUUAAACAUAAGUUUUAAGUUUGAAAGAUGCAAUUGCAUCACUCAAAGAUGAUCCCGCGUUGUAUUAGCUAGUUGGUGAGGUAAAGGCUCACCAAGGCGAUGAUACAUAGCCGACCUGAGAGGGUGGUCGGCCACAAUGGGAAUGAGAAACGGGCCAAACCCCUAAGGGAGGCAGCAGGAGGGAAUCUUCGGCAAUGGACGAAAGGCUGAACGAGCAACGCCGGGUGAGGGAAGGAGGGUUUCGGAUCGUAAAACUCUGUUGGUAGGGAAGAACGUGGAUGAGAGUGGAAAGCUCAUCAAGUGACGGUAACUACCGAGAAAGGGACGGCUAACUACGUG
rnacentral:rRNA from 1 species